CAAAGUGCUGGAAUUACAGGCAUGAGCCACCAUUCCUGGCUGGACUACAUCUUUUAUAAAUAUUUUCCUAUUAUCCUUAUUAACAGUAUUAUUCAAGUAGUUACGGUUAAAUAUUUAAAGAUGCCUGAACUACUUAGUGUUUUUUCUUUUUCUUUUUUUUUUUUUUUAAAGACCUAAUUCACAUGAAAAAGGAAAAACUGGUGCAAAAAAUGAAUUUUAGAGUGAAACCGUUCUGACUGGGCAAAGAAGUCUAUUUCUAAUGUGGGGGGUAUGGGCUGAAUGGUGUCCUUCCAAAAUUCAUAUGUUGAAGCCCUAACCCCCAGUACCUUAGUAUGUGCCUAUGAUUGGAGAUGGGGUCUUUAAAGAGGUAAUGAAAUUAAAGUGAGGUCAUUAGGUUGGGUCUUAAUCCAAUAGACUAGUGUCCUUAGAAGAGGAGGAAGAGACACUGGGAGGGUGUGUGCACAGAGACAAGGCUGUGUGAGGACACAGGGAGUAGACAGCCAUCUGCAUGCCAAGGAAGGGCUUCCAGAAGAAACCACCCUUGCCAACGCCUCAUCUCAGAUGUCCAGCCUCCAGGACUGUGAGACAAGAAGUUCCUAUUAAGUCAGUUGGUCUGUGGUACUUGGUUAAGGCAGUCAGAGCAAACUGCUACAGUAGUUGGGAAAACUGCGUGUGUGUGCGCACAUGUGUGUGUGCGCGCACAUGUGUGUGUGCGCACGCUCUCAUCUUGGUGCACCUGUACCAGCAUCUGAAUGCUUGAGUUGGUCAUGGCACACUGGGCCCCAGGUGUCCAGAGACAGAUGUCCAGGUGCAGCGUCAGAUGGGCCGUUCAGGUUCCACGGGUCCGUCUCUCCUACGAUGGCCAGUUUGUUUGGAGGAUCACAUCGGAUGAAUGGAAGGAAGUGGUCGCUGGCCUCAUGGCCAUGGCACUGUUCAACCUAUAAAAUAUAAAUGCAGAAGUCAGGAGCACAGAAACAGGCUCUGCUAAAGUGGAGGGCCUGCCUUUCAUUGCCUUUCGGUUCCAGGGAGACCUGGGGGAAAGCCUUCCACCUGGACGGGAAGGUCUGGGUAUGGAUACCACAUCUCUGCCUUGACCUUCAAUCGCUGCAUCUCAUCUCUGAUCACUUUUCUUCAUAGUUUUGGUCUUUGGUUACAACAUUCGUGCGAUUAAGUGAUAACUGAAUCAUUCCUAACUGCUGUAGAUUGAAGGACGCAGCAAUCACCUUCCUCUCCGAGAGCACAGGCAAAUGUUUCUGGGUCAUGUAGUCAGGAGGUUGUUUAAAAAAGCCAAGGUAGUACCGUGUGAUGUUUAUUGUAUGAUCUCUGGAGUCAGACCACUGGGUUUUAACUCCUGUCUCCUCAGUUUGCUUGAUAUCACUUAGCAAAUUUAUCAGCUUUCCUGACCCUCAGUUUCAUCAUCUAUAAAAUGGUUUAAUAGUCAUUUUUUAUCAUGGGGUAUUGAGAAGAUUAAUGAGGUGAUUCAUUGUUUGUGUCACAUUGCCUGACACAUAGUAAGUGCCUGAUAAAUGUGAGCACCUAUUAUUACGUUAUUAACCAUCCCAUCAAACUGUACUUUAGGAAUUAUGGUGGCUAGGACAUGGAAUUCCAACAAUUCCAGACCAUUUAGCUCCACUUAAAUUUGUGUCAGAAAUAUGGUAAAUUUAAUGAAGCUGGCUCAUCGUUAAAAUGCAAAGCUGUUCUGAGUCUGAAAAGAGGCAAUGCGUGGGAAGUAUUUAAUAGGGGCCUAGAAUUUUCUAAGUGAUCAAUAAAUGGUGAUGAUAAAAUGUGCAGAGUCAGGAUGGGCAUGAUCUUGGUUUCGGUUCAGCUCUUCCACUAAGUAGCUUUGUGACCUAAGGGAAGUCUCAAGUUCCUCAAGCCUCUCUCUCCUCAUUGGUAAAGUAUCAACAAUAGUAGAACCUACUCUUAGGUUUGUGGUGAGGCUCAAAUGUGCUUUGUGGGGCUUUGUGCCACUUUGUGUUGUGGUGGUGGUGGCGGCUUUUCCCUGAUAUAGCUCUCUAGGAUAUGUAAUGGUAAAGGAGGAAUAAGGGCUUUUCAAAAUGGAGCUCUGAGCGGCUGUGGGAACAAUCUAUGUGGUACAUCUGUGGCCCCGCUGGCUGCCAGGUGUCUGGAGACCUGUGUGCCAUCUCUCCCCGUCAUGCCAUGUGCCUCCCUCCUGAGGCUGUGGGCUGCAUCCAAGAGAAUGACCUUCCUUGACAGAGGAGAGCAGCUCUCCAGGAAAAGGAAUGGGAGGAACUUCCUUCUGCUCGAACCCGCAACUACAGGUUUAAAAUGCUGUGUGUGUGCACGUGUGUGUGUGCACGUGUGUGUGUGCAUGUGUGUGUGUGCACGUGUGUGUGUGCAUGCGUGUGUGUGUACGUCUUUAGUUAGUGAGACCACUGUAGGUGGUGUCAGGUGGUGUUUAGAAGGCACGGCGCUGACUGGAAAGGGUGGCAACAGACAUGAUAACUAUCCAGGGUGCUGAGGCUUAUGCAGUUUGCAAAAUGCAGACAAACCAGUAUACGCCAUGUUUUUAAAGUUACAUUUAGGUCAAGGAGAAAAAUAGAAAAGCCUCACUUAGGCUUCUGAUGAAACGGGGAAAAGAAGAAAGCAAGUGUUUUUGACUACCCGCUUAGUGCCAAGCACUGUGGCUGGCACUUUCCAAGAAAUUCUUCCAUUCAGAUAAAAAGAGAGAGCACUCAACUGCUUUUUCCUCCUGUUGUCUUGAUCAAGGAGAAAGCUGUUUACAGUAAAAAUGUAUUUGCAAGAGAAUUUUAAGAUAAUUUCCAAGAAAAGCUAGGAAACAGUAAACUCCAAAUCAGUUGGUUUCCUGAUCCAGAUUAAUCAUUUCCUAGGAUUUUUCCCAAAUUAUUAGUAGACAUUGCUGGACCAUUGUCAUUAGCCAUUGAGGAGCUGCAGAGAAAGAAGGAGAGGUAAUAGAAGGCAGAGAUCUGAAUUCUACUAGCUGUACAUUGGUGUUUCUGAUCUCAGUCCCAGGUGACAUCCUAGACUGAUAGUCAAGUAAAUGUUCUGUGAGAAAGGGAGGUGGUAACCACCAGAGGCCACCAUAGGUUCCCUGGGGCAGGCAUGGCGGGUGACCUCAUGGGUUUGUAAAUAGCAUCACUAUGCUAGAGGCAUUAGUGGAAUGUCAUAGAUAUGGGAUAUACAAAUUUAUGUGUGGUGUAUUUGAUAAAGUCUCUCUUGGUAUCCUUAUAGAAAGUAAGGUGUGAAAUGCAGGAAAACAUACAAUGGAUGAUGGUUCAUUGAUGUGGAGACAAAAUUAGCUCAGUGGCUGAUUCCUGAAAAUAUUGGUUGGUGAUUUGAGAGUAGAGAUCACCCUUGAGGAACACCUGCCUUACCUGUUUUGGGCUCAAUAUUUUGUUUCAGUGUCUUGAAUAAGGACCCUAGAUAAUAGGCUUACAAAAUUUGUGGAAAAUGUAGAGUUACUUAAAUGUUAGUUGGCAGAACAUUGGGGUUGCGGUUGGAGGCCGGGGAUGCCGACGGGAAGGAUCCAGUUAAGAGGGAAGCAACCCAGAGAUGUGGACACAUCAGUGCUGAGGCCCCUCAACAUCCACCCAGAGAUGUAGACACAUCAGUGCUGAGGCCCCUCAACAUCCACCCAGAGUGUGGACACAUCCGUGCUGAGGCCCCUCAACAUCCACCCAGAGUGUGGACACAUCCGUGCUGAGGCCCCUCAACAUCCACCCAGAGUGUGGACACAUCCGUGCUGAGGCCCCUCAACAUCCACCCAGAGAUGUGGACACAUCAGUGCUGAGGCCCCUCAACAUCGACCCAGAGUGUGGACACAUCAGUGCUGAGGCCCUUCAACAUCGACCCAGAGUGUGGACACAUCAGUGCUGAGGCCCCUCAACAUCAACCCAGAGUGUGGACACAUCCGUGCUGAGGCCCCUCAAUGUCAACCCAGAGAUGUGGACACAUCAGUGCUGAGGCCCCUCAAUGUCAACCCAGAGGUGUGGACACAUCAGUGCUGAGGCCCCUCAACAUCAACCCAGAGUGUGGACACAUCCGUGUUGAGGCCCCUCAACAUCAACCCAGAGUGUGGACACAUCCGUUCUGAGGCCCCUCAACAUCAACCCAGAGUGUGGACACAUCAGUGCUGAGGCCCCUCAACAUCAACCCAGAGUGUGGACACAUCCGUGCUGAGGCCCCUCAACAUCAACCCAGAGUGUGGACACAUCAGUGGUGAGGCCCCUCCAUGUCAACCCAGAGGUGUGGACACAUCAGUGCUGAGGCCCCUCCAUGUCAACCCAGAGGUGUGGACACAUCAGUGCUGAGGCCCCUCAACAUCAACCGCUUGCUGAUUUGAAGUGAAAAAUGGGUUCCUCAGUAAGGACAGAAUUACAGUGUUUCCUUUGCAAAAGAUGAGUGUUAAAAGGGAACAUGCACAAAGAUGAUGGCUUAUAUGGGAUGAAUAAAGACUUAUCAAACUCUGGCUGGCCAUGGUGGCUCACGCCUGUAAUCCCAGCAGUUUGGGAGGCCGAGGUGAGGGGAUCACUUGAGGCCAGGA